GACGAACGCUGGCGGCGUGCUUAACGCAUGCAAGUCGAACGGAAAGGCCCCUUUGGGGGUCCUCGAGUGGCGAACGGGUGAGUAACACGUGAGUAACCUGCCCUUGACUUCGGGAUAACUUCAGGAAACUGGGGCUAAUACCGGAUAGGAAUCCUUGCUGCAUGGUGGGGGUUGGAAAGCUUCGGGGGUUUUGGAUGGGCUCGGGGCUUAUCAGCUUGUUUGUGGGGUAGUGGCUUACCAAGGCUUUUACGGGUAGCCGGCCUGGGUGGGGGACCGGCCAAAUGGGGACGGGGAAAGGGCCAAGAGGCCAACGGGAGGAAGAAGGGGGGAAAAUGGAAAAAGGGGGGGAAGCCGGAGGAAGAAAGGCGGGGGGGGGGAGGAGGGCCUAGGGGUGGAAAACGGAUUGAAGAAGGGGCGAAGCUUGUGGUGACGGUACCUGCAGAAGAAGCACCGGCUAACUACGU
rnacentral:rRNA from 1 species